GUACCGGAUGGGAGUUAUACCGCAGUGGCCCAUAACUGUACAUUGAAGGGGAGCGGCGUCAAAUGUACAGACGGUGC
rnacentral:ncRNA from 1 species